UGUUAGAGGGAGUGGGGUAUAGUGACACAGUAACAGAGGGAUGGAGGGCCUGCUCAGUGAGUUUACAUGCUAGAGGGAGUGGGGUAUAGUGACACAGUAACAGAGGGAUUGAGGGCCUGCUCAGUGAGGUUACAUGUUAGAGGGAGUGGGGUAUAGUGACACAGUAACGGAGGGAUUGAGGGCCCUGCUCAGUGAGUUUACAUGUUAGAGGGAGUGGGGUAUAGUGACACAGUAACAGAGGGAUUGAGGGCCCUGCUCAGUUAGUUUACA